AAGAAAACAAUAGCCAUUUUUAAAGGAAGUAAGGGCGUACAGUGGAUGCCUUGGCACUAAGAGCCGAUGGAAGGGACGA
rnacentral:rRNA from 1 species